rnacentral:rRNA from 1 species
GGGGGGGAAGGGAUACCAGCCAUGCAGUCGAGCGGUAACAGGGGUAGCUUGCUACCCGCUGACGAGCGGCGGACGGGUGAGUAAUGCAUAGGAAUCUGCCCGAUAGUGGGGGAUAACCUGGGGAAACCCAGGCUAAUACCGCAUACGUCCUACGGGAGAAAGGGGGCUUCGGCUCCCGCUAUUGGAUGAGCCUAUGUCGGAUUAGCUAGUUGGUGAGGUAAAGGCUCACCAAGGCAACGAUCCGUAGCUGGUCUGAGAGGAUGAUCAGCCACAUCGGGACUGAGACACGGCCCGAACUCCUACGGGAGGCAGCAGUGGGGAAUAUUGGACAAUGGGGGCAACCCUGAUCCAGCCAUGCCGCGUGUGUGAAGAAGGCCCUCGGGUUGUAAAGCACUUUCAGCGAGGAAGAACGCCUAUCGGUUAAUACCCGGUAGGAAAGACAUCACUCGCAGAAGAAGCACCGGCUAACUCCGUGCCAGCAGCCGCGGUAAUACGGAGGGUGCAAGCGUUAAUCGGAAUUACUGGGCGUAAAGCGCGCGUAGGUGGCUUGAUAAGCCGGUUGUGAAAGCCCCGGGCUCAACCUGGGAACGGCAUCCGGAACUGUCAGGCUAGAGUGCAGGAGAGGAAGGUAGAAUUCCCGGUGUAGCGGUGAAAUGCGUAGAGAUCGGGAGGAAUACCAGUGGCGAAGGCGGCCUUCUGGACUGACACUGACACUGAGGUGCGAAAGCGUGGGUAGCAAACAGGAUUAGAUACCCUGGUAGUCCACGCCGUAACGAUGUCGACCAGCCGUUGGGUGCCUAGAGCACUUUGUGGCGAAGUUAACGCGAUAAGUCGACCGCCUGGGGAGUACGGCCGCAAGGUUAAAACUCAAAUGAAUUGA